UACGUAGGGGGCAAGCGUUGUCCGGAUUUAUUGGGCGUAAAGAGCGUGUAGGCGGUUUUGGUAGGUCCGCUGUGAAAACUCGAGCUCAACCUCGAGACGCCGGUGGAAACCAUCAGACUAGAGUCCGGAAGAGGAGAGUGGAAUUCCUGGUGUAGCGGUGAAAUGCGCAGAUAUCAGGAAGAACACCCGUGGCUAAGGCGGCUCUCUAGUACGGUAC
rnacentral:rRNA from 1 species